AGACACCAAAAUCCCAGUGUUGAGCAGUUUAGCUGCAGUAUGUCAGUGGAGCGAGGAAUGGACUCUCCGUCUGAGAUUAGUCUCUCACAGAAACAGAGUGUAAUAUCAGGCUCACAUGUGUUCAGCUCUGUGUCUUUGAAGAGUGAUCGGUCAAAAAAACAAACAGUUGACUUCAGUGAGGAAACACCAUCAUCUAGCAAAAGUGUAAGAUCAGACUUGCAUGUGCUCAGCUCUGUGUCUGUGAAGAGUGACCAUUCAAAGAAUAGUAGCCCACCGUUCUUCAGUGAGAAAAAAGCAUCAUCUAUCAAAAGGUAUUUCAUGUUUCAUGUUAUUGGUCAAACAUAGACUAUUAGAAAAUAUCAGCAAACAUUUAUCACUAAACUAUUAAAAUCACUAAAUUAUUAUUCAA
ensembl:lncRNA